GUGUGGGAGCAGCAGUCUUGGUUCCCCUGGAUAAACACUGGACUAUGUGCUACUUGUGCUUGGCUACGUCAGCUGUAAGCCCUCAAGGUAUCAAGUCCUUCCAGCCUCUUACCCUGUGAUCUGUCAGAUGCAGCAAUUUGUGAUGCCCCAUUCAGGAGUUUCUCAGGCCAUGCUCUGUGAGGUGUGCCCCAUUCCCUGAGCACAGCCACAGCCUGGGAGAGAAACGUGUGCAUUCUGCUGGGACUAAACCAGAUCCCCAUGGUAUGCAAAAGGUGAAAA
rnacentral:lncRNA from 1 species